AGCAAGGGCAUUCCAGACUCUGUAGAGGAUGCCCUCGCCAACAGACUUCAGCUUUUGAGCAAAUUAGAGUGUUUGUCGCUCUCCGUCAGGAAGCUUGUAGAGCCGACUGCUCCGUAACGAUGUAAAGUGAACAUUCUUUGUUACUCUUUACGUCGCCGCCGUAUCUUCUGCCUGGCCCCCUUAGGAUUCACGAGCCACUGCAAAGUGCAAUCAGCAGCACUAUCCUGAACAUCUGGGUGCACAGUUUGUAACAACUGGUGCCAGCGGUGUGAUCCGACAAUCACUGGGCAAGCUCCAGACCGCCAGGCCCAUGCUACCUCCACGGUCCUGGGUUCCCAUUAUUUAACACAGAACAGAAGCAAAAAAAAUUGUCGCAGUUUUGCCCGAAAGGCGAAGCAUCGAUUGCGAUAGCAAAUUAGUAGAGCGCUGUUCGGAGUAGGGAUAGUAGUUUUAUCGGUUGCAUAAACUUGGACACAUUGGCUUACUAACUGAAUUAACAAUCGUGGUGUCAGCGCGCACAAGCAAACAUGAAUAGCUCACACUGAAUGACCGCAACCAACGACUGUCAAAGCGCUGGCAGCAAGCGCAAGUUCGCGCGGUCUAUCGCUUCAACGGAAACUGAGCGGCAAAUGCACAGCCCAUACAAAGGUCAGAGCCGUGUGGAGAUUAGAGACGGUGCGGGCGACCGCCGGGCAGAGAAGUUGUUGGCAGAGGAGAAGCUGCCCCCCCCCUCCCCCCUCUUCCCGUUUCUUGCUUUCGCGUGGGAGAUUGAGUGGUAAGAUACGCCUUUGGCACCAGAGCACAGCGUCGCCCCGCCUCCCUCCCUCCCAUACCCCAACGGCCUUUCGCGAGACGGUCGCGUUUGCUUUCCACCGUGCGUUCGCCCUCCGUGAUAGCGCGCUUUCGCUCGCGCAUACGGCGCGCGACGACGAUUUUAUUGCCCUUGGAAUCUAUACGGAACCUCAUGGCGGUGGCGACGCCAACGGCAGAAAUCCGGUUGAAGUGUCCAUAUAAUUGCUAUCGCAAUAAAAGAAUUGACAUCUAUGAAUAAGGUAUGUUCUUUUGGGCUGCUUCCCUGGAACAUAGGAGGCAAAUGCCUUCGGGAAGUUCAGUUGCACUUUCUUCUAGUGGACUAUAAGGCGGGUGCAGACUAUGUAAGAAAACCUUUUUAUUUUAAAGGUUUGGACGUUGCAAACCAACAAGUGCAGUGCACAGAUCACACACUGGCAAUCCUGUCUGCAAAUUAUCAAAAUGAUGCACAGUGGGAAAACAAAUGAAAUUUUAAACAAAGCUAUCAAGGCCUUUUUCUUGAGGGAGUCCCACCUCAGCCAGAGAGUUAAGGUUACACACACAAAUGUCUCUAUGUAAAACGCACUGCUUGCAACAUCACCAACCAUGGCAUCUGACUUUGGUUUGGUAAGUCAACCAAUGUUAAAUGCCAUCACUGGAUGUGUGCCAUGCAGCAAAAAAGGGAGAAGGAAAAAAAAAAGAGGUGGGGCUCAUCAUGCAAGUGUGACAUGGUCCCUCGGCUUUGGUAUAAGAGAAGACUAAGAAGCAAGAUCACUUGAAUGCAAAGGGGUUGAGUGCCGCUGUUGCUUGUAGCACUCACCUCCUGGCCAGCAUGGAAACGAAACAUUUCAAUUUCUUUUAUCUCAACCAGUUAGAGAAAUUUGUUCGGUAAAAUGCUCCCUUGACGGUGUCUUAGAACUUCCAGUGUAUGACCAAAAUUUGCCAUUAUGCUUGGUGAGAGGGGCUUUUCAGCCCAAAUUAAAUCCUGCAGACUAUAGCAUUGUGCAGAAAAUAUGGUAAUGGAACUGCAAAAUGUGGCGUUCCACAGCCAUGUCUACCAGUGCAGUUGGAGUUGGCUCUGUUGCAGCCUAGAUGUCAGCACUGUGAAGGACCCUAUUAUUUUCUAAUGAUCGUGUCCUGUAAUAUAUUUGAGCAUUUACAGAAAAUCACGGAGGCCCUCAAUGUGUAGCGAUCUAGGUAGCGGCAGAUGUAUGGUGUGCGCUCGCUGCCUGUAGGGGCGCCACAGUAAGCCACCUGCGUAUUGGUGGAUUUCAGAAUUGUGGACGGGAGAAGACUCAUGGCUGUUCUGCCUGUGCACCAGGGACUGCAAGAGCACAGGGCUGCAAUUUUUCAUUUGUGCAUUUGGCAGAACAUUAUUCCUGCAGUGGCAGUGUCCACAGAGAAAAUGCACCCUACAAGAGUGGACAGAGUUCCAAUGUAACUGCUUUGAAAUGGUCCAGCCCGCGUAUAUACGAGCACUGCUUUCCCCAGACAAGCGUGGCAGCGCCUGGCCUUGAAUGCAGUGUGCUACUUGAUAAAUAUUGCAGUUGCCCAGUGCUAAGCUGCCUGGAUUAUUUAUUUGCCAUAAUGGAUGUACCCACGCAACUAAUAUUUGCACUCGAAAUGGCGACAGCAGACAUGCAUUUCCUGACGACAUAUAAUUAGGUUCAGCCAUGUCAUCUGAAGCUUGCAUGCACAUGCUGUGGACCAGGAGUGGGCCGUCCAGCGGGCAAGGGCCAUUGCCGAGGAUCUCGAAAGAUUUUUCUCCGGCGAUGGACCCCUGGCAGCCUAGCCCCGGGCACCAACAGCCUUAACCGCUGGACAAAUAAAGUUUAUUCCUAUCCUAUCCACAUGCUGUGGCCAUAAACUUAUUUCUCCCCUCAAGGAUGCUGGUCAACUGCCACUAGUUACCGAUGUCUGCGAGGAGUGCAAACUGUGUAUGUGAGUGCUUCACAUGAAUUGAAAUUACUAUCACCACAGUGGUGGUAAAUACAUUGAAAAGUAAUCUGACAUUUGUAAAGACUGUCUAUAUCUUUACUGUAAGAGAUUUGCUCAGGGUUGACAAAAACCACCUUAGGGACCAUUUAAUGAAGUGUUGCUGCCCAUAUUAUGAGGUGAAAGAAAAGGUAGCCAUUCGGACUUUUGAAUAUGAAUACUAUUGGUAUUGCCAAAAUGCAUUUUUUUGACUAACCAGUGGUACAAAAUAGUUCAUUGCACAGUAAAUAAUGCUUCAUGGUCAACAAAAUUAUCUAAUACAAUACUUUUGCUUGUCUGUGUCAUAACUGCAGUUAUUUAAUGUUCCAUGAAGCAAGGACAACAGCUCGACAUGUUUGAGGAGCAGUGACACCUGCUGCAUGUCACAAUUGAUUCAGACAGCGAAAAGAGCUGCUUACUGGACACACUAGUGUCUGACACCAGUAGGUAUCUCUUCGCAAGCCAAGCCCAUCGCUCCAACAGAUCUUUUUGACCCAAAAUGUCAUCAUGCAGAUAUCUUUCAACCUGCGAUUUCUGCCACUAGUGAAAAUUCCUGCUGGUUGGUGAGCUCAUAAGUCUUUCCACAGUGCUGACGAGGAAGUAGCCCCUUCUGAAGCUUUCGUUGUCGAACACAUAUCUGUGUUCCUUGGUGUUGAAAUUAUCCUUGCUUUCUCUAAAUCCAGGGGUGAGAUCACACAAGCAUCUCACUUUCUGAAUGUUUGCUUACGCUCUGAUGAUUCGCCUUUGCUGUGCUUUCGUCAGCGGUCGUCUGCUUGGUCAAGUGGGAGCGCCAGUUGAACGCUGCCUACUCGGUGUUGUAGGAGGCGAAGCGAACAAUUAGAAAGGUAGAUGCUUGCGUGAUCUCAUCCCAGGUUUUUAAUCCAGUUUGACAUUGAAGCAUUCUGGUGGUACUUAACUACUUUAGAAUGAGCUUCUAAAAACAUUGCCAAGCUUGCUACUUGAUCAUAUUUGUAGUUUGGAAACUGUUUGGGCUCUUAGCGACAUUAGUAGCAGAUACAGAGAUUUACACAUGGCGAUUGUUGUCCAAAUGCAUGAAGAGACAGCACAGUGUGGGUACCUAAGCUGAUAGUGUCGGGUGACCGUAAGCACCAACUGGGCCCCUUGACAGUGUCCCAUUUUAACUUCAGAUGAGCUUCACAUGGUAAAUAUGCUGCACCGCCAUACAUUCUGUACGCUUCACCGCAUAACACGGCUAUACUGCGGUGAAGCUGACUUGAGGAACUGACAACAGCCAAGAAGAUGGCUGCAACUGUCUCAACAGGUCCUUCCUACAUAGAUAUAUUUCCAGAGUUCGCAACAGAUUCCAGUCUUAGUGCAAAAAUCUGUUUCAUGCAUUCUUUACCGACAGAAGGUGCUUCAAAAUUGGUUGCAUGAAAUGAUCAAACGCACACUGCACACUUACAAGUGCAGCGAAUGUGGCAUUCUUGCGGAGGAGUUCCUUUGCGAAAAUGCAGAGGAAUUCCUCUAUUUUUAAACUCCACAAAUCUUAAAAGUUGCGCCUAAUUAUAAGAUAUGUGUAAUUGAAUUUCAACGGUAAAUUCAGGUAGUAUUGGAACCGAGUGUGCUGGAAGCGCAGAAAAGGGGGUCCCACUAUCGUAUCAGACGGAAACACUCCUUGACGACAGGUAUGAGAAAGUCUGAACAUCUCUGCCAGUUGUAGCUACAGAUAUGACACUCUGCCUGGCAAGCAUGUGCGUCUGUGUGCCAUGUCAGGGUAUCGUUUAAACUUCGUCCCACACUUUUCGAUGGGGCAUUGCCAUCUGGGUGGUUAUUCUGCAAGAGUCCACGAGGUGGACUCUUACAGAAUACUCCCCCUGAUGUGCAGCAGGAUGCACUAAGUUUUGAUAGUACUUAAUUGAGCUUUGAAAACUCAAUUUAAAAAAAUUUCAAUACAAGUCAGAUUUCCAAGUUAAAAAAAAAAGGGGGGGUGUGCAUUCAAAUGCGACUGCCUCCAAAUAUGCCAUUCAGACACUUGCCCACAAGGCACUAAUAAAAAGAGUUAAUUACUGAAUUUUUCAAAAUGAACUUUUUGAAACUCGCAUUAUUGGUCAAGGGUGUCCACCUCGCCUAGAAGCAAGAACAUCAAGCUCUCUGCACUGGAAACUUUUAUAAAUUACAUGCAAGGUUUAAAAAAAAAAAAAAGCUGUAUAUGCACAAUUGUUAAUGUACAAUAAAAAACGUACACUAUCA